UUGGCUAUAUUUUUAUUAAUAAUUAGUUACUAAUAUGGUACUACAUUAAUCUUAUUUAUGAAAGGUUCAACAAGAAAAUUAUCUCAUUAUAUAUGUUCACGACAAAAUCAAAAAAAAAUAUCACAACAUAAAUAACAAUGAAUUUUUAGUUCUCCUUUAUAAGUAGCCACUUAAUACCAUCCUAUUUUGUACAAGUUACAUGACAUCCAGUUAAAAAGUGUAACACAA
rnacentral:lncRNA from 1 species